rnacentral:rRNA from 1 species
AUUCCAGCUCCAAUAGCGUAUACUAAAGUUGUUGCAGUUAAAAAGCUCGUAGUUGGAUUUCUGGUCGUGGAUUCUGGUCUGUCCUUCACAGGAUGUGUACCUUAAUCUGCAGCCAUUUUCGAGGAGAAUGUAUCUGGCAUUAAGUUGCCGGAUUCAGGACCCUUGUCAUUUACUGUGAGCAAAAUAGAGUGUUCAAAGCAGGCUUAGGCCGUUGAAUACAUUAGCAUGGAAUAAUAAGAUAAGACCUUGGUCUAUUUUGUUGGUUUGCAAUCCGAGGUAAUGAUUAAUAGGGAUAGUUGGGGGUAUUCGUAUUCAAUUGUCAGAGGUGAAAUUCUUGGAUUUAUGGAAGACGAACUACUGCGAAAGCAUUUACCAAGGAUGUUUUCAUUA